rnacentral:rRNA from 1 species
AGCGAACGCUGGCGGCAUGCCUAACACAUGCAAGUCGCACGGGGGGGCUUCGGCCUCCCAGUGGCGGACGGGUGAGGAACGCGUAGGGACCUGUCGAGGGGUGGGGGAUAACCGCGGGAAACUGCGGCUAAUACCGCAUGACGCCGCGGCGUGACAGCCGGGGCCAAAGGCGAAAGCCGCACGCCGAGGGGCCUGCGUCCGAUUAGCUGGUUGGCGGGGUAGCGGCCCACCAAGGCGUCGAUCGGUAGCUGGUCUGAGAGGGUGAUCAGCCGCACCGGGACUGAGACACGGCCCGGACUCCUACGGGAGGCAGCAGUGGGGAAUAUUGGACAAUGGGCGCAAGCCUGAUCCAGCAAUGCCGCGUGGGUGAAGAAGGUCUUCGGAUUGUAAAGCCCUUUCGGCGGGGACGAUGGUGACGGUACCCGCAGAAGAAGCCCCGGCUAACUUCGUG